rnacentral:rRNA from 1 species
GACGAACGCUGGCGGCGUGCUUAACACAUGCAAGUCGAACGAUGAACCCGGAGCUUGCUCUGGGGGAUUAGUGGCGAACGGGUGAGUAACACGUGAGUAACCUGCCCUGGACUCUGGGAUAAGCGUUGGAAACGACGUCUAAUACCGGAUAGGACCUUGGAUCGCAUGAUCUGGGGUGGAAAGUUUUUUCGGUCUGGGAUGGACUCGCGGCCUAUCAGCUUGUUGGUGAGGUAAUGGCUCACCAAGGCGUCGACGGGUAGCCGGCCUGAGAGGGUGACCGGACACACUGGGACUGAGACACGGCCCAGACUCCUACGGGAGGCAGCAGUGGGGAAUAUUGCACAAUGGGCGAAAGCCUGAUGCAGCAACGCCGCGUGCGGGAUGACGGCCUUCGGGUUGUAAACCGCUUUUAGUAGGGAAGAAGGGCUUCGGCUUGACGGUACCUGCAGAAAAAGGACCGGCUAACUACGUG